GCGACGGUAGCCAAACGGUUAAGGCACAGGAAUGUGGCCCCUGGAAUCACGGGUUCGACUCCCGUCCGUCGCC
rnacentral:tRNA from 1 species